rnacentral:tRNA from 1 species
UCCCUGGUAGUCUAGUGGCUAGGAUUUGGUGCUUUCACUGCCAUGGCCUGGGUUCAAUUCCUGGUCAGGGAA